GAUGAACGCUGGCGGCGUGCCUAACACAUGCAAGUCGAGCGAACGGACGAGAAGUUUGUGUCGUUCAUGUUAGCGGCGGACGGGUGUGUAACGCGUGGAUAACCUACCUAUCUUUCGGGGAUAAUUUCGGGAAUCCGUAUCUAAUACCGGAUAAUAUCUUGAACCGUAGUGUUCAAAAGUGAAAGUCGGUCUUGGUGUAUGUAAUAGCGGGAUCUGGGCUGGAUGGGCUGGUUGUUAAGGUAACAGCUUUCCAAGGCUACGAUGCAUGGCCGACUUGAGAGAGUGAUCGGCCACACUGGAACUGAGACACGGUCCUGACGCCUGCGAGAAGCAGCAGUAGGGAAUCUUACGCAAUGGGCGCAAGCAUGACACAGCAAGGCCGCGUGAGUGAUGGAGGUCUUCGGUUCGUAAAGCCCGGUUAUUGGGGAAGAACAUAUGUGGAAGUAAAUGAGCAGAUAUUGACGGUACCUAAUAAGAAAGCAACGGCUAACUACGUG
rnacentral:rRNA from 1 species